rnacentral:rRNA from 1 species
GGGUUGUGAGGUUAAGCGACUAAGCGUACACGGUGGAUGCCCUGGCAGUCAGAGGCGAUGAAGGACGUGCUAAUCUGCGAUAAGCGUCGGUAAGGUGAUAUGAACCGUUAUAACCGGCGAUUUCCGAAUGGGGAAACCCAGUGUGUUUCGACACACUAUCAUUAACUGAAUCCAUAGGUUAAUGAGGCGAACCGGGGGAACUGAAACAUCUAAGUACCCCGAGGAAAAGAAAUCAACCGAGAUUCCCCCAGUAGCGGCGAGCGAACGGGGAGCAGCCCAGAGCCUGAAUCAGUAUGUGUGUUAGUGGAAGCGUCUGGAAAGGCGCGCGAUACAGGGUGACAGCCCCGUACACAAAAAUGCACAUAUUGUGAGCUCGAUGAGUAGGGCGGGACACGUGGUAUCCUGUCUGAAUAUGGGGGGACCAUCCUCCAAGGCUAAAUACUCCUGACUGACCGAUAGUGAACCAGUACCGUGAGGGAAAGGCGAAAAGAACCCCGGCGAGGGGAGUGAAAAAGAACCUGAAACCGUGUACGUACAAGCAGUGGGAGCACGCUUAGGCGUGUGACUGCGUACCUUUUGUAUAAUGGGUCAGCGACUUAUAUUCUGUAGCAAGGUUAACCGAAUAGGGGAGCCGAAGGGAAACCGAGUCUUAACUGGGCGUUAAGUUGCAGGGUAUAGACCCGAAACCCGGUGAUCUAGCCAUGGGCAGGUUGAAGGUUGGGUAACACUAACUGGAGGACCGAACCGACUAAUGUUGAAAAAUUAGCGGAUGACUUGUGGCUGGGGGUGAAAGGCCAAUCAAACCGGGAGAUAGCUGGUUCUCCCCGAAAGCUAUUUAGGUAGCGCCUCGUGAAUUCAUCUCCGGGGGUAGAGCACUGUUUCGGCAAGGGGGUCAUCCCGACUUACCAACCCGAUGCAAACUGCGAAUACCGGAGAAUGUUAUCACGGGAGACACACGGCGGGUGCUAACGUCCGUCGUGAAGAGGGAAACAACCCAGACCGCCAGCUAAGGUCCCAAAGUCAUGGUUAAGUGGGAAACGAUGUGGGAAGGCCCAGACAGCCAGGAUGUUGGCUUAGAAGCAGCCAUCAUUUAAAGAAAGCGUAAUAGCUCACUGGUCGAGUCGGCCUGCGCGGAAGAUGUAACGGGGCUAAACCAUGCACCGAAGCUGCGGCAGCGACGCUGAUGCGUUGUUGGGUAGGGGAGCGUUCUGUAAGCCUGCGAAGGUGUGCUGUGAGGCAUGCUGGAGGUAUCAGAAGUGCGAAUGCUGACAUAAGUAACGAUAAAGCGGGUGAAAAGCCCGCUCGCCGGAAGACCAAGGGUUCCUGUCCAACGUUAAUCGGGGCAGGGUGAGUCGACCCCUAAGGCGAGGCCGAAAGGCGUAGUCGAUGGGAAACAGGUUAAUAUUCCUGUACUUGGUGUUACUGCGAAGGGGGGACGGAGAAGGCUAUGUUGGCCGGGCGACGGUUGUCCCGGUUUAAGCGUGUAGGCUGGUUUUCCAGGCAAAUCCGGAAAAUCAAGGCUGAGGCGUGAUGACGAGGCACUACGGUGCUGAAGCAACAAAUGCCCUGCUUCCAGGAAAAGCCUCUAAGCAUCAGGUAACAUCAAAUCGUACCCCAAACCGACACAGGUGGUCAGGUAGAGAAUACCAAGGCGCUUGAGAGAACUCGGGUGAAGGAACUAGGCAAAAUGGUGCCGUAACUUCGGGAGAAGGCACGCUGAUAUGUAGGUGAAGUCCCUCGCGGAUGGAGCUGAAAUCAGUCGAAGAUACCAGCUGGCUGCAACUGUUUAUUAAAAACACAGCACUGUGCAAACACGAAAGUGGACGUAUACGGUGUGACGCCUGCCCGGUGCCGGAAGGUUAAUUGAUGGGGUUAGCCGCAAGGCGAAGCUCUUGAUCGAAGCCCCGGUAAACGGCGGCCGUAACUAUAACGGUCCUAAGGUAGCGAAAUUCCUUGUCGGGUAAGUUCCGACCUGCACGAAUGGCGUAAUGAUGGCCAGGCUGUCUCCACCCGAGACUCAGUGAAAUUGAACUCGCUGUGAAGAUGCAGUGUACCCGCGGCAAGACGGAAAGACCCCGUGAACCUUUACUAUAGCUUGACACUGAACAUUGAGCCUUGAUGUGUAGGAUAGGUGGGAGGCUUAGAAGUGUGGACGCCAGUCUGCAUGGAGCCGACCUUGAAAUACCACCCUUUAAUGUUUGAUGUUCUAACGUUGACCCGUAAUCCGGGUUGCGGACAGUGUCUGGUGGGUAGUUUGACUGGGGCGGUCUCCUCCUAAAGAGUAACGGAGGAGCACGAAGGUUGGCUAAUCCUGGUCGGACAUCAGGAGGUUAGUGCAAUGGCAUAAGCCAGCUUGACUGCGAGCGUGACGGCGCGAGCAGGUGCGAAAGCAGGUCAUAGUGAUCCGGUGGUUCUGAAUGGAAGGGCCAUCGCUCAACGGAUAAAAGGUACUCCGGGGAUAACAGGCUGAUACCGCCCAAGAGUUCAUAUCGACGGCGGUGUUUGGCACCUCGAUGUCGGCUCAUCACAUCCUGGGGCUGAAGUAGGUCCCAAGGGUAUGGCUGUUCGCCAUUUAAAGUGGUACGCGAGCUGGGUUUAGAACGUCGUGAGACAGUUCGGUCCCUAUCUGCCGUGGGCGCUGGAGAACUGAGGGGGGCUGCUCCUAGUACGAGAGGACCGGAGUGGACGCAUCACUGGUGUUCGGGUUGUCAUGCCAAUGGCACUGCCCGGUAGCUAAAUGCGGAAGAGAUAAGUGCUGAAAGCAUCUAAGCACGAAACUUGCCCCGAGAUGAGUUCUCCCUGACUCCUUGAGAGUCCUGAAGGAACGUUGAAGACGACGACGUUGAUAGGCCGGGUGUGUAAGCGCAGCGAUGCGUUGAGCUAACCGGUACUAAUGAACCGUGAGGCUUAACCUUACAACGCCGAAG